rnacentral:misc_RNA from 1 species
GAUGAAGAACGUAGCGAAAUGCGAUAAGUAAUGUGAAUUGCAGAAUUCAGUGAAUCAUCGAAUCUUUGAACGCACAUUGCGCCCGCCAGUAUUCUGGCGGGCAUGCCUGUUCGAGCGUCAUUUCAACCAUCAAGCCCCCGGGCUUGUGUUGGGGACCUGCGGCUGCCCGCAGGCCCUGAAAACCAGUGGCGGGCUCGCUGUCACACCGAGCGUAGUAGCAUCAUCUCGCUCAGGGCGUGCUGCGGGUUCCGGCCGUUAAAAAGCCUCUAAUCCCCAAGGUUGACCUCGGAUCAGGUAGGAAGACCCGCUGAACUUAAGCAUAUCAAUAAGCGGAGGA